GGUCCUUAAUUUUUUAUCCGAUAGAGAAUCCUUCCUUUUCAAAAAAUCUGAAAUCAAUAUUUUUGUCGGUCUCUACCUUCCUAUCGGAAAGGGGUACCUUACUGGGGCUGAUUGGAGAUCGAGUUGUAGCUGGAGCAGAUGCAGGAGCAGGGAUUGAAGCAGAAGUGGUCUCGAUUGCUUGUCUCUUCUGUCGCACACUUUCUUCCAACCCGUGAACUGAUUUCCUCCUCUGUGGAAGCUUCAUCUUCAGAGCCAUUUGCACAUGCAGAGCUAGCAAAGAACUUAGGAGAGCAAAUAUGGGGAGAGAUAAAGGGUUUUUAGGAGAAGGAUAAGGAUUUUGGAGAAGAGGAGUGUUGAUUUGGAGAAGACGGGUAAAGUCUAGGAUAAGCUCGACUCGCUUCAAAUGGAGAAGGAGAAAAGGGAGGAGCUUGGUUCUAAGAGGGCGAUUUAGAAGGUGAGAGAUGGUGGGAGAAGAGUUUUGGGAAGAAACUUGGGUUUGAGGAAGAAGAGAGGGAGUCUUUUGGCUUGGU
rnacentral:lncRNA from 1 species